ACUCAAAUGAAUUGACGGGGGCCCGCACAAGCAGUGGAGCAUGUGGUUUAAUUCGAUGCAACGCGAAGAACCUUACCCAGGCUCGAAAUGUAGAGGGCGAUAUCAGAGAUGGUAUUUUCCGCAAGGACUUCUAUAUAGGUGCUGCAUGGCUGUCGUCAGCUCGUGCCGUGAGGUGUUGGGUUAAGUCCCGCAACGAGCGCAACCCUUAUCAUUAGUUGCCAACACGCGAGGUGGGGACUCUAAUGAGACUGCCCGGGUUAACCGGGAGGAAGGUGAGGAUGACGUCAAGUCCGCAUGGCCUUUAUGUCUGGGGCAACACAUGUGCUACAAUGGUCGGUACAGAAGGCAGCAAGACCGCAAGGUGGAGCAAAUCCGUAAAGCCGAUCUCAGUUCAGAUUGUAGUCUGCAACUCGACUACAUGAAGUUGGAAUUGCUAGUAAUGACGUAUCAGCUACGACGUCGUGAAUACGUUCCCGGGCCUUGUACACACCGCCCGU
rnacentral:rRNA from 1 species